UUUCAGAGGGGUUAGCGGUUAGGCCACGGCGCUGUCACCGCUGCAGCCUGGGUUCGAUUCCCAGCCAGGGAA